ACCUGAAUGGCUCAGUCAGUUGAGCAUCUGACUUCAGCUCAGACCAUGAUCUUGCGGUUCUUGAGUUCAAGCCCCACAUUAGGUU
rnacentral:tRNA from 1 species